GGGGGGGGGUAAAUGGAGCUCACAAGGCUACAAGCUUUAGGACUCCUGUAUAUGAUUUCUUUCAUAUCAUAAGGGUUUUUAAAAAGCCACAAUCUGAGCCUCACAGGUUCAUUAUCAGCCACUGGUUUUAAGCAGGAACAACAGUGAUAGCACCAAUGUCGUGAGAGAUGGGGGAAGUGUCUUCCAGUUGCCCCCACUGUCCUACUUUUUUCCAAAAAAACAGACCUGCUGCAGAUUGUCAUUGCAAAAAAAUUGUGGUGCCUGUUUUAAACCAGUUAUUGGAUCUGGUAGGUGGGGUUUGCUGCCUCAGGAACAACAGCUUGACUUGCAAAUACCUUUUUAUGCAUUCUCAAGCUUGUCCCGAGGGGCGAACCCCACCCAUUUUGGAUCUACAGUCACUUAAAACAAUCACUUUUUUGCGACUACUAUUUGCCGCGGUCUGAUGCACACACAGACAUCCCCUCUGAAUCACCUUACUGCCUCGCUGUUCUCCCCCCCCCCCCUCCCCUCUACCCCUGUGGUUUUUAGUGGUUAAGUGACUUUUUGCAUCUCACAGUGUAAUCUUUCCGUGUUGUAUAUACAAACACAUACCAGUUGCAUCCUUUGUAGAAUUAUGUGGUUUGCGAAAUGUCUUGUUUGCCAUGUUUGAGACCGUAUUUUUUUUUAGAGAAGUAUUUUAAUUUUGCCUUUUUUUUUAUAGUAAAAGACGACAAAGAUAAAAAAUCGGCAUGCUUUUUAUUGAGAAUAUGUAUACUAUAAUCAUUAUUAUAAUAAAGAAUGUUUGGCUGACUACUGUGGUAAAAGAAAGCAAAGGGUUUGGACAUUUCCCCUUCUUGUUUACGUUGUUUUUCUCCACUAUCUGUUUUUUCUUGUGUAAAAUGACCACCAGACCCAUUUGACUGGGGACCCCGGGGGGACUCAGGUGUAGAUGCUGGCCCAGCUUUGCUUUCUUUGGUCAGGGUAAGUGCGGGUUGGUGCUCCUUUCUCUCUCCAGCCUCUCAAAAUGGGUGCAAACUACAUUUUAAACGAAAAGGGGUUUGCUUUGACCAAUUUAAUUCUGGCUUUAAAUUGAUUUUUCAUCAAUUCAGCACACGGUUGAGCGCUGGGGAGAGGCACACAGAUAGAAUGGCCUGGGUGCAUUUUGAUCUGUGGAGCAGAUUCUGGGGUUGAUGGGUGUUUGCGUCUGGUCUGGUGUCUUCCUUGCUGCACCAAAUUCUCCCCCCCUCCGUGUGUCUCUUGUGUACACUCUACUCUCAGACCUGCAUGUGUGAUAAUCUGUAACUCUGCCGCAACAUCAACAAACAAAAAAAGAAAGAAAUUAAAAGCGCCGCGAAAGUCCAGCUCUGAACUAACUAUCUCAACUGAAUUAGGUCACCGGCCCACGUGGAGCGGCCAGCGUGCAAACCUGUGUGAGCGUGGCGGCGUGAGCCAUGGGGACGACUUUUAGUGCGACGCCACCGCAGUGGGAACUUGUUCGCUCUCUCCUCACCACCAAGAGGCCUGGGCGUGCCCUUGGACAGUGUGUGUGUGUGGUGGCCCCCCCCCCCGCCGGACUCAGUUACAUGACACACAGAGAGACUUCACUGUUGGACGAGUCGCUUUGCUUGAAAUGCUGGGUUUGCUUCUCACAGCUGUGGAAGGGAUCUUUAACUCCCAAUAGCUCCCACUCACCUAAAGUGAUACAUCCUCAGUUUCUCUCACCUUUGGGUCCCUCACAGCCUGUGUGCCUAAUCAGAAACAUCCUAUAAGAUAGGCCUAGGUAUGAGGCCAGUCUGACCUGUAGAUUCUCAAUCUCAGGGUUCCUAUAGGACUUUUCUGGUACGGCAGCUUCAUCCCUCUAAUUCUUGGAUCAGCUGGAUAUGUGCUCUGUAUGUGUUUUUACCUGUUGAGAUUGUUCCUGCGACUGAGAGCCUAACACUCACGACCCCCAAAAGUAAUUCAGUAUGUUGAAUGAGUUGUCCGGCAGUUGCUCUGACAGCUACAAGAUGGAGUCAAGAGGGCGUAGACUUGUGUCUGCCUAAAAUACAAAGGAGAGGGAAGAAGAAGGAGGAGGAGAGGGAUGAAUAGAUGAGUUGAUUAAAGGGUGAGUCGGUAGUGGAAGGAGGUCAAAAGAAGCUCCUUAGCCUCAACUUCCUGAUAUUGGAGGACUAUAGUUGAUUGCAAUAAUAUAUAUACUGGCCAGAAUCCAGGAAAGGUUUAAAGAAAAGGUGUACUGGUAAGACAGCUUUGACUUCAAGGUUUUCCGAUUUUAUUACUAGAUUCUAGUCAGGAAUGACUGACCCGGUCUCACUGCCAACUCAUCCAAUACCAAUGCUUUGUCUGUGCUCCUCAGCGUCUGAUACUGACACACAGAGGCAACCUUUACCAUCAGAUACACCAGGCUUUCUACUGACUCCAAUUCAGACCAAUCGGAGUCAUAUUUAGACAGUUAAGCAACAUACAAGAGCGGGGAAAGUCCGCUUAGAGUCAGUGGGAGGGACUAAUCAAUUAGUCAAGUAAUUGAUGGUUUAGGUCACGGUUUACGAAGAUUUCCUUAGUCGAUUUGUCCAGAUAUGUCAAUUGAAUCAACCAAUAGAUUAGCAAAUGAAAACAAAUGUCUUCAGACAAGGACAGCCCUAGCAAUCAUUAUUGACUUAUUUUAGUAUACUUAUGUACUUGACCACGAAAAAUUACGUAAUAAACUAACCUUUUUUCCAGGUAUAAACAUAAUUCUUUUGAGAAAACCACAAUCUUUUCGUUGGCUAAAUCCAAUACUUUUGUUGCCACCUAAACAAGAAGUUACGUUGCAUAAGUCAGUCUUAAAAACUAAUUAAAAAGCAUGUAACAAGCAGAAAUCCACAUGUGUUAAACUAGACGAGUACAUAUAGCCUCAAGUCAUAUUGGAUGAGUUGGAAAUGAGAAUGCAUAUUUAAAAUGAUAUGGAGUUAAAAAGCUGACUCCCACCCAGGCCUCCAUCACCAUGCAGGGCUUGUGGUGCUCCAGUGUUCUUCCUCCACCUCAUCCUCCCCCCUCCCAGAUCCUCACUAAAGGCUUCUCUCCGGGUGCUUGCGAGUCUGGGCUUCCCGUGCUUGGGUGAAUGCAGCCACGCAUCUCUUUAAACCCCCCCCCCCCCCCCCUGCUCUGAAUUCACAAUCGCACAGUACUGACAGCCAACAGCUCGCUGCAGCAUCCUCCUCCCUUACUUCCACUUCCUCACCCGCUCCCCCCCCCUCGCCUCCUGUCUGUGGUUUGGACAGCUGAAGAACUACAGAUGCUCUCUAUGUGCACUUCUCUGUACUGUGUUGUUUUGAUGGGAUCCCACAGGUUCCCUCUGUUCUCCUGCAGCAGGUAUCAGCUGUGAUGUGCAUCUGGAACACACUGAGCACAACCCAUAGACCUUAUUGCCUUUUUUUGAGUUUGCAACAUGAGAUUCUGUAGGUUUAACCGAUGUGAAUAUUUUAGCUCUCCUAGCACAUAUGUGAAUAACAGGUAUCAGACUCUGCUCAUAUUAUCUUUAGAACAGUAGUCAUACCUCAGCCAUUACCUCAUCUACAGGGGAUUGACAUAGGAAUCAAUAUAAUCCCUGCAUUUAUUACAAAGCUCACUACAUUUCUGCCUACACUUGGUAUUAUAAUUGGAAACUCUUAAUGCUGCAGGGUGUGACGGCAAUGCAGUACAUUGAAAGGUGUACACGUUAUUUUGUCCAACCCCUGCCUGUGUAAGAGGCUGUCUAUUUCCAUGGUCCAUGUUAUUAUCAAUAUUAGCUUUUAGUAGCAUUAUGUUUACAACUCAUCCGAUUCCUUCAACCCUGUAGUAGCACAGUAACUACAAAAAGGCCCAUGUAGCUAAGAUCCUUCAAGUAGGUUAAUGGACCAAGCCUAGUGUAGUUACAUCUAAAAGUCUGAUUAAUUAUAAUCUACAUCAUCCUAGUUUCCAAAGACACAUCAAGGGUUGACGGUAUAAUGUGUCGCCUAGAGAGGAUAGCUAUCUUUAUUAGCCCAUUUCUAAGAAAUCUUGUACCAGCACAAUGUUGAAUGGGAUGGGAGUGUUUAAGUUGAUGACUGUUAGAUGAGUCAACAUGUUUACUGUGAAUGACAAAUCCUGAUAUAAAUACAAAUUAUAUUGUAAGGUUGUGUAUGCAUAUAUAUGCCUUUUGAUCUGUAUUUCUUAAAAUGUUUUGAGGCGUUUUUCAGUGCAUGCAUUAAUAAAACCUUUCUUUUCUCAUACAAA